GGGUUGUGAGGUUAAGCGAAUGAAGCGUACACGGUGGAUGCCUAGGCAGUCAGAGGCGAUGAAGGACGUGCUAAUCUGCGAAAAGCGUCGGUAAGCUGAUAUGAAGCGUACUAGCCGGCGAUGUCCGAAUGGGGAAACCCAGUGCAUUAAUGCACUAUCGUUUGAUGAAUUCAUAGUCAAACGAGGCGAACCGGGGAAACUGAAACAUCUCAGUACCCCGAGGAAAAGAAAUCAACCGAGAUUCCCCCAGUAGCGGCGAGCGAACAGGGAGCAGCCCAGAGUCAACAUCAAUAUUUACCGCAGGAGAAAGAUCUGGAAAGGCCGGCAAUAAAGGGUGAUAGCCCCGUAUCUGAAGCGGUAAGUGUUGUGAACUCGAAGAGUAAGGCGGGACACGUGUUAUCCUGUCUGAAUAUGGGGGGACCAUCCUCCAAGGCUAAAUACUCCUGACUGACCGAUAGUGAACCAGUACCGUGAGGGAAAGGCGAAAAGAACCCCGGCGAGAGGAGUGAAAUAGAACCUGAAACCGUGUACGUACAAGCUGUAGGAGCACCCGAUAAGGUGUGACUGCGUACCUUUUGUAUAAUGGGUCAGCGACUUAUAUUCUGUAGCAAGGUUAACCGCAUAGGGGAGCCGUAGGGGAACCGAGUCUUAACUGGACGUUAAGUUGCAGGGGUAUGACCCGAAACCCGGUGAUCUAGCCAUGAGCAGGUUGAAGGUUGGGUAACACUAACUGGAGGACCGGA
rnacentral:rRNA from 1 species